GAGAUGAGAUGAGCUUUGUGACAUGACAGGUUAUCCUACUGAAAACAGCCAUCAGAAGUGCUUUAAAGAAGCCCAAGUCUUCACAAGAGCUCUGUAAGGAUUUACACUGAAAGAUUGACACAGUGGAUGAUGAGCGCUACGAUAUCGAGGUAACCUCCAGCUCUUUGAAGAUCAAAUGCUACACUCUCAUCUUAAUCCUCCUUCCAAGAUUAUAUCUAUUUACAUC